AUGACAACACAAGGUUGGGUUGCAGAGAAGCUUGUUGAUUGGUUGAAGAAAAACCCAGGAGAGGGAGCAAAGGCAGUGAAAACUAAGUUGGAGGGUGACUUCAACUUCAAGCUGAUGUAUUCCAAAGCUUGGGCAGGUAUGACGAUAGCUCUAGAACAAAUGCAUGGUAAAUAUGAGGAUAGUUUUCAGUUUUUGUUCAAUUGGAAAGCAGAGAUAGAGAAGAGAUGCCCUGGUAGUAUUGUUGAGAUUGAUUUGGUAAAGGAAAAAGAUAACUACUACUUCAAUAGUCUUUGUAGCUAUCAAACCCUGCAUAGAUGGUUUCUUAGCUGGAUGUCGACCAUACAUAGGAGUAGAUGCAACUGGACUGAAUGGAAAAUUUGUUGGUCAAUUAGCUUCAGCGACCGGAGUUGA
rnacentral:rRNA from 1 species